GACGAACGCUGGCGGCGUGCUUAACACAUGCAAGUCGAACGGGCCUUGUCCCCUUUUUUUUUGGGGGUGGGGUUAGUGGCGAACGGGUGAGUAACACGUGAGUAACCUGCCCCUCACUUCUGGAUAACCGCUUGAAAGGGUGGCUAAUACGGGGUGUUCUGGCCUGCUCGCAUGGGUGGGUUUGGAAAGAUUCGACCGGUUUUGGUUGUUUUGGUGGGGGAUGGGCUCGCGGCCUAUCAGCUUGUUGGUGGGGUGAUGGCCUGCCAAGGCUUUGACGGGUCGCCGGCCUGAGAGGGUGGGCGGUCACACUGGGACUGAGACACGGCCCAGACUCCUACGGGAGGCAGCAGUGGGGAAUAUUGCACAAUGGGCGCAAGCCUGAUGCAGCGACGCCGCGUGAGGGAUGGAGGCCUUCGGGUUGGGAACCUCUUUCGCCAGUGAAGAAGGUCCUGCUCUUUGUGGUGGGGUUGACGGUAGCUGGGUUAAUGAAGCGCCGGCUAACUACGUG
rnacentral:rRNA from 1 species